CUUUCUCUUUCACCUCUUUCUCUCUGUGCUUUCCUCUUAUUUGCCCCGUCUCCUCUGUUGAUCUUCAUAGCUGAUCUCUUGUUUUCUCCAUGUGCGCCUGCAUACAUCUCUGAGGUGCUGCCCCUUCUUCGCAGUAUGUGCAGCUUCUGGAGCUGUGCCUCUUCUGUGUCUCCUGGGUCCUCUUGGGUGUUCUCGCUUCAGUUCAGCUAAGCUGCUUGCAUGCCUCCCUCCUUUACCUGGGCCACCACAUAGUUUAAGUCACACUUGCUGCCUCUGAAUCUGUGGAGUUCCUGUUAAGUUCCCCGCCCCCCGGCAAGGGCAAGAGGGAAGGAACAAGCAGAGAAGGGAUGUAUGAGGGUGAAGGCAUGUAUGAGGGGUGCAGCCAGCACUUUAGGGAGCGCUCUACCCAAACUCUGUGGCCUGGGCUGCUUGGAUGAUGAAGAAGAGGGAAAGGAAUUUUUGAGGAAUUUGAGCAGAUGCUGGAACAGGUGUAUAAAGGUAUUUCUUUUUUUUUCUUUUUGAUAUCCCUCACUUUUCCUCACCUGGUGAGUGCUAUAUUCCUAUCCUCUUUUGUGUUUCAUGGUCUUUCUGAUUUGUUCAGCUGUCUCGCAACACCUCUAAUUUUGUCUAGAUCAUAUACAUUUUUAUCGCUACAGAGAGAGUACAACAGUUUACACACAAAUAAGCAGAAAAUCUAUUUCAGGCACACUUUGGGCAUUUUCACACUUCUGAAUAUUCAAGUCCAUACUUGACUUACUGGACUAAUUCUGGACUAAUACUGGACUAAUUCUGUGCUCAUUUGGGGACAGGGCUCAUAAUAGCAGGUUUGCCUUCACAUAGAAUAAUUCCUACUGAACUGUGGCAAGACUGAGCAUAAAUCACUUUUGUGCACUCCGGUGCACAAAACAGUGGAUUGUGAUACCUUCAGUCCUGCCCUGUGGAGGUUGUUUUUGAUGUCACUGACUGUUGUUUUUGGGUUUUUGUUCACAGCUCUCACUGUUUCUGUCAUCAACUGCUGUUGUUUCCCUUGGCCAACCUGCUCAAUGUCUGAUUGUUAGUACACCAGUGGUUUCUUUUUCAAGACAUUCCAAAUUGUUGUACUGGUUGUGCCCAAUGCUUGUGCAAUGGCUCUGAUCGAUUGUUCCUCUUUUCUCAGCUUCAAAGCUGCUUGAUUUUCUUCUAUAGACAGCACUCUGGGCUUCAUGUAGGUUUAUCCUUUCUAAAAAAAUUUGCAGUCUUUACAGGCGAAACCCAGGGCUCAAACCAAAAGUAGACAUUGGAGCUAUUAAUUGUUUAAACAAUCAAGCUAACAGGGCACAUGCGGGCAACACGAAACACCUGUCAGUCACAUGUUCCAAUAAUUUUGUUCACUUGAAAAUUGGUGGGUCCAAACAAAUCUCUAAGGGGUGGGUGCAAUGUUCUAAGUUGUUUAACACAUCUAGAUGUAAAUCUCAGGAAAAGAAAUCUGAAAUUCUGAUCUAUUGUCUCAUAUUCAUCUUUCGAUCUAAAAACCCAAAUGUCUUCAGUAUAUAGCAAAAACAAAAGAACUGGCCAUUCCAAUACUUUCCUAGGGGACUGUAUAUUAGGACUACGAUGCAUUUUAAAUGAAAUAAGGUUGUGGUCUGCUACCUCUUUGUUCACAAAGGACUUGGUACUAAAGUUUGUGCAACUUGCCUUAUGAAACAACUGAAAAUGCAGCUAUGCAGUGGCAUUUGCUAGAAAAAGCUUUUUUGCUGGCCAUCAGGAUGGUCAGAUGAGAAUUACAUGCAUUAUCAGUCAUCACACAGUAUCUAGUUUGGGGACCUUGCAUCUUUUGAAAGCUCUCAAGUUCUAUGUGGAAGUUACUGCUAGCUGAUAGGUGACUAAAAAGCUGUUUGUUUUCUUUGGGUAGCACCAUGAAGGAAUUCCACUGUCUAAAGUCCAGUUAGCCCUUUGGGUAAAUUAAGUGAUUCCAUAAUUUUUGAACAGGUCAGGUUGCCUUCUUCCACUAAAUGCCCUUCAACCCAUUCUAUGACUACCUCCAGGGCAGUGGAGUAGCCAGGAAUUAAUUUCAGGGUGGGGUGAGGAAGUAUGCUAAAUAAAAUCACUGCAUGAUCUGUACAGUUAAAUUAAAAAGUGUGAUACACUCAUGGAUGCCAGACAGUAGAAGAAUUAUGAUGUACCAUCAACCAAUCUUGCCAUAUUAAUGUAAUAUAGUAGUAUAGUAUCUUGUCAUAUUAAUUAUGUAAUAUAGAAUUUUGCCUUAUAAAACCAACUUUAUCCUUGUUUUUAUCCUCCUGCAUAGACAUCCAGUACUUUCUUAGCUGUCACCUCCAUAUCCCUAUGCUAAGAGUAUAGCUGGCUGGUACAGUGGAUACAAAAGUCUAUACACCCCUGUUAAAAUGGCAAGUUUUUGUGAUGGAAAAAAAAAACCAAGAUAAAUCAUGUCAGAAAUUUUCCCACCUUCAAUGUGAAAUUACAACUUAUACAAAUUAAGUGAAAAACAAUUAGAAACAUUUUAGGGAAAAAUAGGAAAAAUAAAAAAGUUACAAUAACCUGGUUGCAUAAGUGUGCACACCUUUUUAUAACCGGGGAUGUGGAUGUGUUGAAUGAACCAAUUAUAUCCAAUCUCAUGUUCAAAAGUAAUUAUCAUUCAGCUGUCAUGAAUUAAAUUAUUUUGAUUAACCCCAAAUAAAGACCAAUUGUUUCUGUUGGAUUUUCUUGACAUCUUCUUGACAGUUUUAUCUGACAGUUGCAGCCAUGGUCUGCAAAGAGCUGACAAAGCCUGUAUAGGAUCUCACUGUUGAAAGGAAUCAAUCAGGAGAGGGGUACAAAAAAAUUUCCAAAACAUUAAAUGUACCAUGGAACACCAUGAAAUCCAUCAUCAACAAGUGGAGGUAAUGGAGAAAAGAUCUGACAUGAUUUAUCUUAGUAUCAUUCUUUAACUGCAGGAAAACCUGCAAUUUAUACUUUUUAUAUCCAUUGUCCAUAUCCAUUAUAUCCAAACUCAAACCCGAAAUCCUACCCAGAUAUGCCUCUGCUCCUAGGUGUCAUAAGUGGAUAUUUGUAAGGCAUGGAGCUCACCAUCUAACUUCAUCAGAUUUUACAGACUGAAUAUUGCUUCAUCGCAACCCAUGUGCUCUGUUAUGUGUCUGAGUAAUGCUCCUGCUCAGCAGAAUACAGGAUCAGUACGAAUUUUUUAUCCUCAAUAGAGGACAUUGUGAUUCUCAUUUUCAAUAUUUCAAUAGUUUCCUUCACUAGUUUUGAAGGAAACAGUCCUCUUCACACUUCCACUUGGGUUCAUGGUCUUAGGCUAGUGACACACAAGUGACUUUGCUAUAGGUGCUCAGCAGUCAAAUGAGCAAACAGGAAUAAUCCACUAGUUCCACUCAGUUGUAGAACAAUAGUUACAUACAUAACCCCUUCAUUGAACUCUGUUUUUUCCUCUUUUUCAAAUGGAGACGUUUUAUUGUAUUUUAAUAUUCCAUAGUUCCUAAAUCUAAAUUUUGUUACUAAAGCAUUGUUUUUUUCUGAAUUUUUUAUGUCAGCACAAAAAAGGUUAAAUCUUGUGAAUCCAGCAAUUAAAGGGUUAACCUGCCCAUGACCUAGACACAAAAGGAUUAGUGGGUCUGUGAAUUUUCGGUAGCCAACUCCCAGGCAAGUAAAUCUGGAACUGGACUGAAUGGCGUCUGUGCUAGGUAGUGUGUGUGUGUUUGUGUGUGUGUGAGUGUGUGUGUGUAUGUGCGCACCUCCCCCUGGCCCCUGCUCCACUCCUCCUCCCAGUUCUGUGGUUAGCCCUGCCCCUGUUCAUCACAUGACUUCUCUGAAAGGCCCCCCUCCUGCUGCCUUCCCCCAUGUUUCCAGUAAAUUGCUUGAAAGGAGGGGGUGAGUCAGACCAGCUUCCCUUUAACCACAGCUUGUUAAAGAAUUUGUCAACGUGGACUCCAGGGCACGCAUGACCCCUCCCCUUUCCUUCUUGCAAUAGAUUUGAAUGUUUUGCUCCAUUCUUUGGAACGGUCUUUGGGUCGGAUUACGUCAGGUACCCAUAAUCACUUAACUUCCUGUGACACACUGUAAAAAGGGUAGGCGAGAAGCACAGAGAGAGGGGAGGGGUAAAGAGAGAACUCAAAAAAGUGUGUGUGUGUGUGUGUGUGUUGUGGGGACACUAGACCAUGCAUCUGUCUAAUUCUGAAUUAAAUGAGUUAAACACAGUAACUGAGUGCUUACUCAAUUUUAUCUUCUGUCUGUGUGUCAGUUUUGUUUGUCUACUUAUGACAGCCUGUUGCAAAGUCACUCUUCCACACUGCUGUGUAAAACAGCUUUUGUUCAAGUAAGUACAUACUUCUAGGUGACAACAUUUAUAGCAAUAUGGGCUAGUUUUUGUUAGGAAUAAAAAAAUUAAAAAUUUAUCUCAGUUGCACAAGUUGUUUUACCAGUAAAUGUUAAGAAAUGUCAUACUUGAGAUCAAGAACAGCAGAAACAAAUUUUCCAAAGAGAGAUGAAAACAAAGAAAAAUUAUUUGCUCCAAACUUGUAUCAAAGGGCUAAGACUGAAUCCCAUAAAAUUAAAUACUGCUAUGCUUUUGACAAGAUAUCCAAUCAUAAUUGCUGCCCCAGGGGAUGGAGGGGUGGGUGAUGGUUGGCAGCAAAAGGCUUGCCAAACUUUUCCAUGAUGGGCACAAAAUGGGCGAAUAAGUAUUUGUGCCUAUUUUGACAAAUGCCAAAUAAAAUAAUUAUUACAAAAGCACUGACAUAUAAUUUAAUUACAAAAAUAUUAAACAUUAUAACAACAAUGCUUAUAAAGGAUGUGUAAUAAAACCAUUUACAAUAAGAUAAAGAAUUAAGCAUGGAGUGUUUGUAGAAGGUAGAGAAUGUGAAACUUGCGAAUGGACUUGAAUGUUGUGAUGUAGUCUCGACAUUGCUCAGAAAUUACUUGUGGCCGUGUACUCGUGGCAUAAUGCAAUGAGAGUGGGUGGUUAAUGUAGUUCUUUGUAGGGCUUUUGUAGUGGUUUAAACAAUAGACAUGUCUUGUUAACUGAAGCCUUAUUGGGGAUACCUAUCAGUGUAUUAGAUCAAGAGCUAGGGUGAGUAAAAGUAAAAUAGAAUGGAUGCAACUGCUAUAUGUAAGCACAGGCUUGGUGAUUGGACAAAACUGCUUCUGAAUUUCUUCUGAUUGUCCAAUCAUAAUAGUGCUAUGUCUCCUCCAUCCGCCUUUCCAACAUUACUUGAAUUUAAUGCCAUAUUAGGUUUGAUUUGGUCAUAUCCCCUCCCACUCCCAAACCAACAGACCACUCAAAUUUCAAUGCACUUUUAGGUCCUUGAAAUUGCAAAAGCAAAGCGUAUAAAUGAAUUAUAGUUGAAGCUCAUGGAAUUAACUUAUGAUUUGCUUGGCCACCGAUCACCAUUUUUUCCCCCAUUGUAAUAGUAAUGUUUUCAUAAUUAUG